GUUUGAAAAGAGGUGAAAAUAAGCCAAAAUCCAAAUUUUGAAAUAACCUUGACCUUUGACCUUGACCCUAUUUUCUUUUUUUUUGGACCAAGGACCUCAAAUCAAAAGAACCUAGGUCUCUAUCACUUAUGGUUUACCAAUAAUAAUUACAUUUUACUUAUUUUAAAUACAGAAGGGGAUAUAACUCUCAUAUGGAGUUUCCAGACCGCUUCAGUCAAAAUUAUUUUUAAGAUCCUGAGGAUAUAACGAGCAUAUUGGUGAAAUAAUUUUGUUGUAAUCUUUAACGGUUGCGAAGGAGAUUUGUACACAAGAAAAACAGUGUUUGGGGAGAUAAUAAAAUAAUAAUACUAUAAGUGUUCGGCUUAACAGGGUCAGUUUCAAAAUCGUAAAAACUGUUCGAUAUCAUACGCAAAAAAUCUACGCGACAUCUUGCGAAACAAAAAAGCACCGUCAGAAAAAAGUGUCGG
rnacentral:lncRNA from 1 species